CCUGUCAGAUUUGCUCUAAAUGCUUUGGUUUUUGAGUUACAAGCCAAAAACUGCAUUUUACCCCUAUGUUCUAUUUUUAGCCAUGGUGGCCAUCUUGGUUGGUUGGCCGGGUCACGCCACACAUUUUUUAAACUAGAUACCCCAAUGAUGAUUAUGGCCAAGUUUGGAUUAAUUUGUCCCAGUAGUUUCAGAAGAGAAGAUUUUUGUAAAAGAUAACUAAGAUUUACGAAAAAUGGUUAAAAAUGGACUAAAAAGGGCAAUAACUCCUAAAGGGGUCAACUGACCAUUUCGGUCAAGUUGACUUAUUUGUAUAUCUUACUUUGCUGAACAUUAUUGCUGUUUACAGUUUAUCUCUAUCUAUAAUAAUAUUCAAGAUAAUAACCAUAUAACCAAAAACAGCAAAAUUUCCUUAAAAUUAUCAAUUCAGGGGCAGCAACCCAACAACGGGUUGUCCGAUUCAUCUGAAAAUUUCAGGGCAGAUAGAUCUUGACCUAAUAAACAAUUUUACCCAUGUCAGAUUUGCUCUAAAUGCUUUGGUUUUUGAGUUACAAGCCAAAAACUGCAUUUUACCCCUAUGUUCUAUUUUUAGCCAUGGCGGCCAUCUUGGUUGGUUGGCCGGGUCACGCCACACAUUUUUUUAACUAAAUACCCCAAUGAUGAUUGUGGCCAAGUUUGGUUUAAUUUGGCCCAGUAGUUUCAGAGGAGAAGAUUUUUGUAAAAGUUAACGACGACGGACGACGACG
rnacentral:lncRNA from 1 species